rnacentral:rRNA from 1 species
UACGAAGGGGGCUAGCGUUGUUCGGAAUUACUGGGCGUAAAGCGCACGUAGGCGGAUAUUUAAGUCGGGGGUGAAAUCCCGGGGCUCAACCCCGGAACUGCCUUCGAUACUGGGUAUCUUGAGUUCGGAAGAGGUGAGUGGAAUUCCGGGUGUAGCGGUGAAAUGCGUAGAUAUCCGGAGGAACACCGGUGGCGAAGGCGGCUUCCUGGACCGACACUGACGCUGAGGCGCGAAAGCUAGGGGAGCAAACGGG